CGCCGACCUCCCUGUGCCAUAGUUUUUCAACUUGAAUGUUUUCCCCGUUUGCAAGGACUUGAAGGAGUGUUAUCUCCCUUGAUUCCCCACUUUGAUGUUAGCAUUAUCUGGAAACAGACCUGAACAUGACAUCAAAAUAGUCAAGAAUAAAAAAAAAUAUCCGAUCGCUCCAGGAAAAUAACCCGCCACUGAAAAGUUCAAAACUUUAGAUAAAGAAAGUAAAGAUUUCGCCCGCUCACUCCAUCAUUUUUAAAAAAAAAAACUUUCUAAAGAACUAGAGAUCAAUUUGGAGUGGCCUAAAGGCAGAUUGUGUAUGUGGUUAAGCUAAAACCACGUUCAUUGUGACACUGUUCACUCAAAUUAUCUCGUGUAUCUUGUUUAAUCCAUGUUUUACAAUAAUCGAGCAGAUCACGUGACAAUAUUGCAAGGUUGCCGCCAUUUUACACUACGUUCUGGACAAAGAAAGAUGGCGUUUUGGGCUUUGUUUCAAGUAGCAAAUAGAUGUCUAUGGGAGGUAUGAAGUUGAAAAGUCAAAAGUUAGUGUAUACCUAGACAAGAAAUGAAGCUAAGAUAGUGUCAGACAUAGUACAGGUCAUGUAACAGAUGGCGUGGACAGAAUGUUGUUGUGGUGGCUUUGUUCAAGUUACAUAUUCUGACAAAGAUGGUAAAGCAGUGGCAGACAGAGUUGUGUGACAUUGUGUAUGUUUCAUUUGUUAGAGCCCAUGCACAGACAGAAGAAAAGCCAAGAAAAAGUUGAAGGUCGUCUGACGUCAUUUUCUAUAUUGUCAAAAACAUAUUGUAUGGGGAGACUGCAUAAAAAUGUGCUGGUAGUCCAAGGAUAUAGUGUUCACAGUGAAAA